rnacentral:rRNA from 1 species
AAGACCUUGCGCUUUUGGAGCGGCCGAUGCCUGAUUAGCUAGUUGGUGGGGUAAUGGCCUACCAAAGCUUCGAUCAGUAGCUGGUCUGAGAGGACGGCCAGCCACACUGGGACUGAGACACGGCCCAGACUCCUACGGGAGGCAGCAGUGGGGAAUUUUGGACAAUGGGCGCAAGCCUGAUCCAGCCAUGCCGCGUGAGUGAAGAAGGCCUUCGGGUUGUAAAGCUCUUUCAGCCGGGAAGAAAAGGUUGCGAUUAAUAAUCGCAAUUUAUGACGGUACCGGAAGAAGAAGCACCGGCUAACUACGUGCCAGCAGCCGCGGUAAUACGUAGGGUGCGAGCGUUAAUCGGAAUUACUGGGCGUAAAGCGUGCGCAGGUGGUUUUGUAAGUCARAUGUGAAAGCCCCGGGCUCAACCUGGGAACU